CAAAGGGCUUCUAUUGUUUGGUGUGAUUUAACCUUAAGAUGGAAACAUCUGAGCCUGAGCCUUGCUAGAGAGGCUUCCCAGGAACAACGGCUGGGGGUGGGGAGCUGUGACUUAUCAGCUUCCCUAUGUUUAUUUUCAUUUCCUGAUGGAGAGUAAAUCUUAUAAACAAAUGAAAAACCUGUGGACUUAUCUUUAAAGACUACAAGGAAAAGGGGAACUGGGCAAACUAUUGCAACUCAAAGUCGUGGAAAGGCAGGAGGGGGAGUGGGGAAUUUAGAAAGAUAUUUCCAAGAGAUGGCAGAUAGGUCCCUGGGGGCCUGUGGCCAGCCUGGAGAGGGAGAGACCGAGCCAGAGGCUGUGGAAAGCUCUAGAGACUUUGUACUAGAAAGGCUGCUGUUGGUGGCAGAGCUUACAUGGCCAGGGAUCCCCAAGGACCUGGAAGGGGUUUUUAAUGGACUUUUGAGAAUCAAAGUGAACUGCCAGGGACAAACAAGAGUGGCGAGGAAAUGGAAGCAGUGGUACAACUCAGGCUGGAAAAUUGCUCUAGGAAUGGCAAGAAG
rnacentral:lncRNA from 1 species